GUACAAGAUAACUAAGAGGAGAUACCUUGUGAUGUCACCUGACAACCACUUUUGUCACUGUUUGUUGUCUGAGACAAGAAUUUCACAUAAGCCCAGGCUGCCUGUAAACCCUCAAACUUGCUAUGUAGCUUUGAAAUUCUGAUCCUCCUGCCUCCAGCUGCCAAGCACUGGGAUUGCAGGGGUGUGCUAGGAUACUCGGCCCCCGAUAUAUGGCAUUUAAUUUUGCACUGAGAGCUACUCUGUCUACCACUCAAGUGAAAUGCAUCCGUCCACUGCCUAACCACCACUCUCCCCUCUGCUAGAAACCUUUUCUCCAACCUACUUCAAAGCGUUUGGCUAUCUUCUAAAUGGUGAGGGUCAUCGACAUCCAAACCUUCAGACAGCGGAAGAUUGCAGUGUCAGCAUGGCGCGGCCAGGAGAGACCGUCACCAAGAAGCCGGGACAGGAAAGGGAUCUUUAUAAGCUAUGACUAACAAGAAAAGCAAACUUUAGUAAUUCAGAGGCUGAGAGACAGAAUGAGACUUUGGCCAGCCACACAGGGAAUGGAGCAAGCAGGAGCUGUGACACAGCCCAACGGUAGAGUACCUGCCAAGUACGAGGAAGUCCUUGGGUUCGAUCCCCAGCAUAGGAAGAGAGCCAAGCUUGGUUGUAUCCACUCACAAUCACAGAACUCCGAAGGUGAACGCAGGAGGCUGAGGAGUUUAAGGUCAGCCAGGACUCGACGAGACCUCUUGAGAACGAAAGGAAAGAAGGGGGGCCGAGGCAUGAAGCAGGUCUUGCCAUCAAGAACUGGCAGAGACAUUCUCCUCCCACUCCUGUCACCUGCAUCAGAAAUAACCUGA
rnacentral:lncRNA from 1 species